AUUCUGAAGACACAGUGGCAACUACCAGCAGCCUGGGUCCUGAGGCUAGGCCUGGGGUUGGAUGAGCGAUCUGGGUCGGAUGCUGGAGAUCAGGAGUAGAGUUGCUGGGGCCAGAGGCUGGGGCCGGGGCUGGGACCGGCUGUCAAGCAAGCUGACAUGAAUUUUCUUAGAACUCAUUGAAACUGAGAUCAAGAGGUACAAAUGUGGAAAAAGAUCAGAGAAACCUACAAUCAGACUGCCAUGUCGAAUCCACCACCUCUUCACUGUAAAUGCCACUCUCUAACAAUAAAAAGCCUUAAUGAAACAUU